UGUACACUGGGAUAGCUCAGUUGGUAGAGCAUGGGACUCUUAAUCUCAGGGUCGUGGGUUUGAGCCCCAAGUUGCACAA